AGUUAAUGAACUUGAUUAAGUAUAUGUUUUGAAAGCAUAAUAUAGGGGUCUAACCCCCUAUUAACUU
rnacentral:tRNA from 1 species